AGAAAUCAGUUCAGCACUAAGUCACUUUGUCUAUAUGGCAAAUGUGAGAUGCAGUGUAUGGAGCGUCAAUAUUCUAGUAUGAGAAAUUAACGAUUUAAGUCCUUCUUAAAUGAGGCCAUUUACCCAUAGAGGGUGCCAGGCCCGUAUAACGUUAAUGAUUACUAGAUGAUGUUUCCAAAGAGUCGUGUUGCUUGAUAGUGCAGCACUAAGUGGGUGGUAAACUCCAUCUAAAACUAAAUAUAACCAUGAGACCGAUAGUAAACAAGUACCGUGAGGGAAAGUUGAAAAGAACUCUGAAUAGAGAGUUAAACAGUACGUGAAACUGCUUAGAGGUUAAGCCCGAUGAACCUGAAUAUCCGUUAUGGAAAAUUCAUCAUUAAAGUUGUAAUAUUUUAACAAUAUUAUAAUAAUAGUGUGCAUUUUUUCCAUAUAAGGACAUUGUAAUCUAUUAGCAUAUACCAAAUUUAUCAUAAAAUAUGACUUAUAGUUUAUUUAAAUUAUUAUGCUUGCAUUUUAACAUAAAAUAAAUGUCAUUAAUUUGAUAAAGUGUUGAUAAAUUAAAAUUAAUACAAUGCGUUAAUUUUUCGAAAUUAUAUAAUGGCAUAAUUAUCAUCGAUUUUUGUGUUUAUUAUAUGCAUUUGUAUGAUUAA
rnacentral:rRNA from 1 species